rnacentral:rRNA from 1 species
UACAGAGGGGGAAGCGUUGUUCGGAAUUACUGGGCGUAAAGGGCGCGUAGGCGGCCUUCUAAGUCAGACGUGAAAUCCCUCGGCUCAACCGGGGAACUGCGUCUGAGACUGGAAGGCUUGAAUCCGGGAGAGGGAUGUGGAAUUCCAGGUGUAGCGGUGAAAUGCGUAGAUAUCUGGAGGAACACCGGUGGCGAAGGCGGCAUCCUGGACCGGUAUUGACGCUGAGGCGCGAAAGCCAGGGGAGCAAACGGG